rnacentral:rRNA from 1 species
CCUACGGGAGGCAGCAGUGAGGAAUAUUGGUCAAUGGGAGAGAUCCUGAACCAGCCAAGCCGCGUGAGGGAAGACGGCCCUAUGGGUUGUAAACCUCUUUUGUCGGAGAACAAAACCCGGGACGUGUCCCGGACUGCGUGUAUCCGAAGCAAAAGCAUCGGCUAACUCCGUGCCAGCCGCCGCGGUAAUACGGAGGAUGCGAGCGUAAUCCGGAGUUAUUUGGUUUAAAGGGUGCGUAGUGGGUCCGGUAAGUCAGCGGGAAAAUUGCGGGGCUCAACCCCGUCGAGCCGUUGAAACUGGCAGACGUGAGUUGGCGAGAAGUACGCGGAAUGCGAGGUGUAGCGGUGAAAUGCAUAGAUAUCGCGAAGAACUCCGAUUGCGAAGGCAGCGUACCGGCGCCAGACUGACGCUGAGGCACGAAAGCGUGGGGAUCGAACAGGAUUAGAUACCCGAGUAGUC